rnacentral:rRNA from 1 species
AGUGAACGCUGGCGGUAGGCCUAACACAUGCGAGUCGAACGGCAGCACAGUAAGAGCUUGCUCUUACGGGUGGCGAGUGGCGGACGGGUGAGGAAUACAUCGGAAUCUACUUUUUCGUGGGGGAUAACGUAGGGAAACUUACGCUAAUACCGCAUACGACCUACGGGUGAAAGCAGGGGAUCUUCGGACCUUGCGCGAUUGAAUGAGCCGAUGUCGGAUUAGCUAGUUGGCGGGGUAAAGGCCCACCAAGGCGACGAUCCGUAGCUGGUCUGAGAGGAUGAUCAGCCACACUGGAACUGAGACACGGUCCAGACUCCUAGGGGAGGCAGCAGUGGGGAAUAUUGGACAAUGGGCGCAAGCCUGAUCCAGCCAUACCGCGUGGGUGAAGAAGGCCUUCGGGUGGUAAAGCCCUUUUGUUGGGAAAGAAAAGCAGCAGGUUAAUACCCCGCUGUUCUGACGGUACCCAAAGAAUAAGCACCGGCUAACUUCGU